UAGCAUGCUAUGCCUGCGCCUGAGGCGGGGUGAGGGGGGCAGGGUGGAACCAGUUUUUCUUCUUUUCCAAGACACAAGCGGGGAGGAGACACAGCACAAAUGACAAGGCAGGAACCGGGAGCUGCAUUUCCAUCAAGUAAGAGAGCACCUGGGAGGCUGCCUGUCUUUCUUCCCCACCAAGUGAGGCAUCUACCAGUCCUGCUCAGACACAGGGAACCUUCUUUGCCUUGGCCUGAGAAUUUUCAGCUGAAAGCUGAACAUAUUCAAAGCUUCCUGACGAGAGCUGCAUCGUAACUGAAAGAUGUCAUCCAUUCUUAAAGUGUUUGGGAGAGAGGAAAAAGACAAGGACAAGGAUAAAGACAAGGACAAAGACAAAG